rnacentral:rRNA from 1 species
CACAAGCGGUGGAGCAUGUGGUUAAUUCGACGCAACGCGAAGAACUUACCAGGCUUGGCAUCCCCUGACCGCGUAUGAAAGUACGUUUUCACCCUCGGGUGACAGGGAGACAGGUGGUGCAUGGUUGUCGUCAGCUCGUGUCGUGAGAUGUUGGGUUAAGUCCCGCAACGAGCGCAACCCCUACGUUUAGUUGCUAACGCGUGAAGGCGAGCACUCUAGACGAACUGCCGUUGACAAAACGGAGGAAGGUGGGAUGACGUCAAAUCAUCAUGCCCCUUAUGUUCUGGGCUACACACGUGCUACAAUGGCCGGUACAGACGGACGCAAAGCCGCGAGGUGGAGCAAAUCCUAAAAAGCCGGUCUCAGUUCGGAUUGCAGGCUGCAAUUCGCCUGCAUGAAGUCGGAAUCGCUAGUAAUCGCAGGUCAGCAUACUGCGGUGAAUACGUUCCCGGGCCUU